AUGACUCUCGGCAACGGAUAUCUCGGCUCUCGCAUCGAUGAAGAACGUAGCGAAAUGCGAUACUUGGUGUGAAUUGCAGAAUCCCGUGAACCAUCGAGUCUUUGAACGCAAGUUGCGCCCGAAGCCUUUUGCCCGAGGGCACGUUUGCCUGGGCGUC
rnacentral:rRNA from 1 species